rnacentral:rRNA from 1 species
CAACAGGGAUUGCCUCAGUAACUGCGAGUGAAGCGGCAAAAGCUCAAAUUUGAAAUCUGGCGUCUUCGGCGUCCGAGUUGUAAUUUGGAGGGAUAUCUUCGGGGAUGGCGCCGUCCUAAGUUCCUUGGAACAGGACGUCAUAGAGGGUGAGAAUCCCGUGCCUGGAUGGAUGUCCAUCUCCAUGUGAAGUGUCUCCGACGAGUCGAGUUGUUUGGGAAUGCAGCUCAAAAUGGGUGGUAAAUUUCAUCUAAAGCUAAAUAUUGGCGAGAGACCGAUAGCGCACAAGUAGAGUGAUCGAAAGAUGAAAAGCACUUUGAAAAGAGAGUUAAAAAGUACGUGAAAUUGUUGAAAGGGAAGCGCUUGAGACCAGACUCAAUCUUUGGUGAUCAGCUGUGCUUCUGUGCAGUGCACUUGCCAUUGAUUGGGCCAGCAUCGGUUCUGACGGCGGGAUAAAAGGACGAGGAAUGUGGCUUCCUUCGGGGAGUGUUAUAGCCUCGAUCAUAAUGCCGCCAGUUGGGACCGAGGACCGCGCUUCGGCUAGGAUGCUGGCGUAAUGGUCUUAAGCGACCCGUCUUGAAACACGACCA